GUACUUGCUAGACAAGGGACAUGGGUUCCAAAACCCAAAGAAGAGAGAGAGGUUGGGGACCGGUGUGUGUACUUGGUGGUAUGGGCCCCUUGUGAGGGCCUGGAGCACCAAUUGCACAUCCUGCUCUCUCCACUGUGGAAUGUCAGAGUUGAUUUUUUAUUCCCUUAAGAAUCCAGAUACA